rnacentral:rRNA from 1 species
AAAACAUAGCCUAUAGUAUAGAUUGUAGGUGUAUUCUGCCCAAUGUAGUUAAUUAAUGGCCGCAGUACUUUGACUGUGCUAAGGUAGCAAAAUAAUUUGACUCUUAAAUGGAGCCCAGUAUGAAAGGAAAUAUGUUAGAGAGUUGUCUUUAUAGAAAAUUAUAAAAUUUAUUUAUUUGGUGAAAAUACCAAAAAGAAAAUAUUAGACGAGAAGACCCUUAGAAUUUUAAGAAAAAAAUAUAAUUAUUAUAUCAUGCUUUUUGUUGGGGCGACAAAGUACACAGAAAUGAAUUUUAUCAACUUACUUUCUUUACACACCUAUAAAUUAAUAAAGAAAAUAAUUACCUAAGGGAUAACAGCAUUAUAAAUUCAUUUUGUUUGUGACCUCGAUGUUGGAUUAGGAACUAUUGUGGUUAGAAAUUAUAAUAGAAUCUUCUGUUCGAAGAAAAUUACCUACGUGAUCU